rnacentral:tRNA from 1 species
GUCGGGAUANCUCAGCUGGUA